rnacentral:rRNA from 1 species
AGUGGCGGACGGGUGAGUAACGCGUGAGAAUCUGCCUUGGGGUCGGGGACAACCACUGGAAACGGUGGCUAAUACCGGAUAAGCCGAUUGGUGAAAGAUUUAUUGCCCGAAGAGGAGCUCGCGUCUGAUUAGCUAGUUGGUGAGGUAAGAGCUCACCAGGGCAGCGAUCAGUAGCUGGUCUGAGAGGACGAUCAGCCACACUGGGACUGAGACACGGCCCAGACUCCUACGGGAGGCAGCAGUGGGGAAUUUUCCGCAAUGGGCGAAAGCCUGACGGAGCAAGACCGCGUGAGGGAGGAAGGCUCUUGGGUUGUAAACCUCUUUUCUCAGGGAAGAAGCUCUGACGGUACCUGAGGAAUCAGCCUCGGCUAACUCCGUGCCAGCAGCCGCGGUAAUACGGAGGAGGCAAGCGUUAUCCGGAAUUAUUGGGCGUAAAGCGUCCGCAGGUGGCGAUUCAAGUCUGCUGUCAAAGCACGGGGCUUAACUCCGUAAAGGCAGUGGAAACUGAAUAGCUAGAGUGCCGUAGGGGUAGAGGGAAUUCCCGGUGUAGCGGUGAAAUGCGUAGAGAUCGGGAAGAACAUCGGUGGCGAAAGCGCUCUACUGGACGGCAACUGACACUCAGGGACGAAAGCUAGGGGAGCGAAUGGGAUUAGAUACCCC